AUUAAACGCUGGCGGCAUGCCUUACACAUGCAAGUCGAACGGCAGCACGGGGGCAACCUUGGUGGCGAGUGGCGAACGGGUGAGUAAAGCAUCGGAACGUGCCCUGGAGUGGGGGAUAACGUAGCGAAAGUUACGCUAAUACCGCAUAUUCUGUGAGCAGGAAAGCAGGGGAUCGCAAGACCUUGCGCUCUGGGAGCGGCCGAUGUCGGAUUAGCUAGUUGGUGGGGUAAAGGCCUACCAAGGCGACGAUCCGUAGCAGGUCUGAGAGGAUGAUCCGCCACACUGGGACUGAGACACGGCCCAGACUCCUACGGGAGGCAGCAGUGGGGAAUUUUGGACAAUGGGCGAAAGCCUGAUCCAGCCAUGCCGCGUGAGUG
rnacentral:rRNA from 1 species